UUCCGCCGGCGCUGAGCCCCGAACUGCGGGGGUCGGGUCUGGGACCUGCCUUCCGCAGGCUCGCCCUCUCCUCUCUCACCACUCCAUUCCCCUGUCUCCCUUUUUUGUCUUUCUCCCACUCCACACAGGUACCGAGAACUUUCUGGGGGUGAGUUUUAGAAUUCUCUCGUAGGCAUUCUUUUUCUGCGUUUUAAUCAUAUCCCUUGAUUCUUUAGGUUGGUAAACUUCAUGGGAUUGUAACUUGACUAAAGAUAAUUUGGAGAAGAGCGAAGUGAGGCGGCGUGUUUUUGGGGCUGCUGUUUGUCGAUGUGUGUAUGUGUGCGUGUAUGUAGGUGUAAGAACACACCUGCGUUCAAGGAGAUUUGGAGUGUCUGCCUGUGCGACAGCUGAGGAAGAACCGACGGGAUUUCUCUGCGGUUUGCGCUGCCUGCAUCUGAAUAAAUUCAGCUCUCAGGCAUCCGGCAGGAAACGGCUCCCGGUUCGAGUGUACGCAGAUGCUUCGGCCCAGCACGGGACUCGGGGUGGCUCCUGGUGAUCACGCGGCUGCGCUGGACUCUCAACGCCCUCAGGCCGGGAGCUGCCCCUCGCUUCCCGGCUGUGCCAGGCAGCGUCUCCACUCCAGGUGGUGCUUCAUGACCAGCCGGGCCGAGUCUGCCGGGGCCGUGUCCGCCCGCGGCGAAAACUGAAAGCAAAUUCCGCGGCAAAUGGAGCCCGAACUUUCUUCGACGCAAGUUUGCCACAGUGAUUCGGUAGUGACUUAGGGAGGACCGCGCGCCGGUUUGUGCGCGCGCAAGGUGUGGGCGGUGGGCUAAGAAGGCUUGGGGUAGCAGAGCCUGGCCCGAGGCGAAAAGCUAGGAAAGGCGCCUCCCCUUCCUAUUUCUCGCCAACUCCUCGGCCCCUGUCCGUAAUAGUUUCCAAGGUGUCCUGGACGCCCAGGAUGUGUUAGUGGGGAUCGUACCAGGGAAAAGGAGGCUUUGUAAAAGUUGCAGAAAGAGCUUUGCCCAGAAGCAUACACCAAGCAAGGCUCAAGGAAGCUUGAAAGCAGCUUGCCUUUCCCGGGGCGGAAUGCCCAAAGGUCGGCUUGGGAAGCCCCCAGCACAGUCCUCUCCCGACACUUCGAACCCGCACGUAAAUAACCUCCCGCAGCCUGCGUUGGAAACUUAAAGCGCGGCGCCGCGGUUGGCGGGCGAGGCCCCGACGCCGAGCGGGCACGCAACGCAGCUCCGCGGCGCGCUCAGUCCCAGCCCCUGAAAGAGGUUCGCACUGAGGUGAGAGGACGAGUUUGGAUUCAGCUGUCGCUCGGCUGCCUAGACCUUCACCACCUUCACCACCGAUCCCCCAACUCCCGGGAGCAGGCGUUUCCCCCUGGGAGCAGAGGCCUUAGGGGGCUGGCGAGGGCGCAAAGUGAGCGCGCGGGCUGGCGCGGGGGUGGGGGGCGGCUGCUGUUCUCUCCGCCGGGCCUGUCGCCCGGCCGGCCGCGGCGGGUGAGUGAUGAGGGCAGAGAAGGGCGCCCAUAAAUCGCGGGUGUCAGGGCGAAAAACUCUCUUUAUUGUCUGCGUGAUGGAUGGGCCCGGGGACGAGACACCAAAUACUUCGUAUCGCCUUUAAAUGGGAACACAUUUUCCGCGGCCAUAAUUCAUGUUUUUUAAAUAGAAAGUUUGAAAUGUUGCCUAUAUUUCACCGGCCCUGACAUAUUUAUGAAUCGCUCCCUGCAUGCAAAUAUCAUUAUUUAAAGCGCCGGGGAGAGCUGGGGGGGGGGGGAGAGGGGAGAAGGCAAGGCCCCCUUGGCGUGGGGGUGAUGAACCGUGGAAAUGCAAAGGAGAGGGGGACCUCUCCCUAAAGUGCGGACAAUGAGGCGCGGGGAAGAAAAAGCCGUAUCCGGAAGCCGAACGCACCAGGGGCUCCCCUCUCGCUGCCGGACUCAGCAUUGCCGCUCCGGGAAGUUUGCCAGCCGCUCGGGACCGAGGACAGGCCCCCGCAUCCUGCAGGGAGACCCGGGGCAUUUUGCUUCCCUCUCCGAGGCCCGGAUCCGAGCCAAAGCCCCUUUUUGCAAGAAGAAAAUAAAGAAAAACCAAAUAAAAGAAUUUAACGCAAAUAAUAACCAAA